rnacentral:rRNA from 1 species
UACGUAGGCAGCGAGCGUUGUUCGGAAUUACUGGGCGUAAAGGGUGCGUAGGCGGCCCUGUAAGUAUGGUGUGAAAUCUCCCGGCUUAACUGGGAGGGUGCGCUAUAGACUGCGGGGCUCGAGUGUGGGAGAGGAAAGUGGAAUUCCUGGUGUAGCGGUGAAAUGCGUAGAUAUCAGGAGGAACACCGGUGGUGUAAACGGCUUUCUGGACCGCCACUGACGCUGAGACACGAAAGCGUGGGUAGCAAACAGG